GUUUGUUACGGCGUCAAUGGUCACGUGCGGGGCCUGAGAGGGAACAAUUUGGGGGAGGUCGGCGCACUCGUUCUCCAACAAACCCUAGAUCAAUUGGGGGGACGUGGCCUCAGAUUGGGGGAGGAGGGAGAGGGGUGGUGCUUCCGUUCGCUAUUCCGUUCGCUCAAGUGGUAGCCAUGGCGGGGAGACUUGGUGGUGGGAGAGGCAAUUGGCGGAGCCCGUGUCCUGGAUUCGGGGAUGGAGGUGGUGGUGGACAGUGGGAGGGAGGCCAGGGAGGCUAGAAAGCCCCGGCGUGGCAAGGUCCUCCUCCUCCACCGCAGUAGCCGCGCCGCCACGAAAUAUGGCUGCAGGAUAUCCACCUUUCAACGAGCAGGUACCUUAUGCUACUUUUGGUCCGCCUGGAAAUUCUGCUGGUUAUCCUUGGGAUCCGAGAGGAGGUUUCCAUGGUGCUAAUCCGCAGUUUCAAGGAAGCGUUGCUGGUUUUGAUGGGAGGCCUGUAGGGCAGGGUUUUCAAUUUGGUCACAAUUGUGGGGGGCCUGGGUUUCAGAGUGCUCGCGCGUCAGGUUCUGUUUCUAGUGACAUAGGAGGUGCAAUUGGGGUGAGACCUGCUAUUCACGUUAACCCUAGGAUGGUUGGGGCUGGGGGAGGCAUGGAUGUGCAGACGUCUGAUUCUUCCAGUAGUGCUCAGAUGCAACCUAGGUCAGCAGAGGCUUCUGGUUCUGCAAAUUCAGAUGCUCUUGGUUCUGGUAUGGACAGAUCUCAUCAGGCUGUAGUGGUGGAAUCUGGUCCUGCUAAGGUGGUCAUGUGCUAUAGAUGCAAUGUUGAGGGACAUACUGUUAAGGAGUGUAAGGCCAUUCUCCUGCAAUAUGUGUGGUAGGGAUACUCACUGGCUAGUAAAUGUGUGCUGCCCACUCAGCCCAAACCAACAGCUCAACUGGUGGGAAGUGCUGCUGAUGGCUUGUAGAUGUUUGUGGCUUCAGUACCAAAGAAGGUGAUAGGGUGGUUGUCAGAUCUGCUAUUGCUCUGGUUACUGUGCACUCUGGGGCUGUUACUGCUGAGCAACUAGUUACUGCUUUUACAAAGAUGUUCCAGUGGGGAUGGGAGUGGAAGGCCAGACAAUUUGCUCCAGAUAGUUUCUUGGUCAAAUAUCCAUCAAUCAAAAGAUCGCUCAGAUGAACUAGUAUAACAACUUUGGUUUGUCAGAUGUAAGGGCUGAGGUGAUUGUUUCUCAUUGGUCACCAGAGACUAGCUCUGGCUUCUCACAAGUUGUCCUCUCUUUGGGUCAGAGCAGGGGGAGUGCCUGAUGAUUUGUUGAAUUAUUUAGGUUUUUGUAUUGUUGGCUCUCUAGAUGGUACUGUUCAAGACAUUGAUAUGGAUAGUUUCAGGACUCUAAGAGGUGAUCAGAAUCAGGAUAAUUAUUUAGGUUUUUGUGUUGUUGGCUCUUUUGACUGUGGAUCCUUAUGUUUACAAGAUCAGGUUUGAGGUUGAACAAGUUGUGGAGAUUGGUGGUCCUAUGAUUGGUGUAAUUCUGGGUGCCUAGGUCCCAUGGUAUUACUGAGAGCUCUAGAAGAUACUGUGAAAUUCCUAGAGACCCUAAGAGACCGAGGGGUGUACACAAAGAGGGUGGUCAAGGUCAAUCUUCAGGUGGGAGUGAUAUGGUUCUGUCCAGCCAACCAGAGGCUGAUGGACAGCAAUACACAACAGCUUCUGAAAAAUAGGGUGUAGUGCCUUCAGUUUAGAAUAUUGUACCUCAGUCUCAUGUGCCUAGUGCUGUUCAAGCCACAAAUGUCAGGUUUGCUGUUGAUGCUGAGAUGAUUGACCAGUUGAACUGUUCUGAAAGUCCAAAGGGAGGGGAGAUUGAAGGUGAUGAAAAUGAAGAUGUUGAUGCUUUUGCUAGGGGAUGUGGUUUUAAUACUCAACAGAUUCAAGAGAUAGACCAACAGAUUGCUGAUGAAGAGAAGAAUGAGGAGAUCUCUAUAGCCAAUGAACCUCUGUCAUCUGUUCGAGCACCAAGCAAGCUUACUUACAGUGAGGUUCUGACAAGUGCACAAAAGAACCCUGUGGUGCAUGUUAAAGAUCUCAGACGAAAAGCAAAACAAGGAGUUGAGGAGGUGGAGAGGAGGAAAAGUGAAAGAAAUGCUAGAGCGGAGAACAAAAGAUGGUGGAUAGAGCAGUUGACAGGAUAAGUACAAGAACAUGGAAGCUAACAAAGGCUGUGGAGCUAUUACGUUGAAGGAAGAUAACCUACAGUGUUUUAAAGAGUCGUAUGGGUAAUCUAUUUUAUUGCCUCAUUUUCAGGACCCUGUGGACCCUCCUUGGCUCCUCUUCCUCCCUCUGGCCUCCUGCCAUGUCCCAUCUCCACUUCUCCUUCUCUCUAUGCUUUGUUCAAAUGUUUACUUGAUAACCGGACAGUGACAGUGUAGUUUCCAUUAUCGGUGGUUGUCCUAUCUGGAGAGAUCACGGAUUGAAGGGACUUUAUGCAGUGUAAUUGCAUUGACUGCUUGCUACUAGCAUGCCUAUCAUUAUGAAUAGCAUCUUUUUGCUGUUUUCUGAUAAUGAAAAACAUAAAGUUUUUGACACUGUAAAAGAAAAUAUAUACUCCCUCCGUCCCAUACUAAGUGCCGAAAUAUUACAUGUAUCUAGACGCUUUUUAGGUAUAGAUACAUCCAUAUUUGGGCAAAUUUGAGUCACUUAAUAUGAGACGGAGGGAGUAUCUUUUUGGACGAGCAAGGCUCGAUAAUUUAUUUUCUUCAUGCUAAAUCCGCAUCCAAGGAAAUAGCAUACUAUUUCUUCUUGAAUAUAUAGAGAUAGGGUUAUCUAUUUGACAAGCUACCACAAGAAAUUUGUGUCUUCAUGUGCACAUUGGAUGCAUGAAUACACGGUUGUUGAUGGAAUAUUGCUCGUGAAUUUUCGUAUGAAAAAGGGUAUUAUUCCUCACAUGACUUCAGUUUUGCUUCAAGCCUUAAACCAAUGCAAUCUUUUCUUUCUUGCAUGUAUGGGUCUACUCUUGCCUGGCAUGUCCCUUCUGCUGGUCUAAUGGUAAGUGAGAAUUCAGCUUAUGUUUUUAUCGUUGUCAUAGCCAUUAUAACAUUCCUGUUCUCUUCUUAGGAAAAAUGUUAGUGAUUUGAUGUUUGACCCAACUCGUAUGGUCAGUAGGGAGUUAGGUACAGCUAUAUAUCGUCAUAUGUUUAACAGUAUCACAUCAACGCUAUAUUUGUACAGUUAAAAGUAUUCACCUGCUUGCAUGGUGCAGACAAUUGAAGAUAUUUAUGUUUCAACCAUUUUUAUGAACAUGAUCAUUGGCCUCUCUAGGUAACUUUCUAUGAAGCAAUUAAAGAACUGACUAUGGGAAGAUGAAGUAUCUGCCGAUCAGUUAUUUUCGAGUCAGCAAGUCCUUCGAAGGGCUUCUUCUAAUGCACUCUUGGGUCCUACCGAUUGGCAGGCGGUAGGUUUCUUGUGGGCUGUGGAAAAGAAACUUAAGCACCUCAAACACACUCUUGGGUCCUACUUUUUUUUCAUGUACAGUACAAAUCAAGAGAAAAAGGGGGCCAGAAAAAACUUUCGUCUCUUGUCUACUCCUUCCUUGGUCUUUCAUUUCGUGCAAAAAAGAGAGGAAACCAAGGAACCAUCAUCCGCCAAGUCACCAACCAGGAGCAAUAUUGUUGUGUUCUGUUAGAUAGUCUUGUUUUUCACUACAUGAUGAUUGAUGCGGAUGUAUGCUAGCAUAUGCUGUUCUUACAAUAAUAAAUUAUCCAUUUUUUUCUUACCAUUAUUUUCUUCUAUAUUUAUAUUUGGAAAUACUGACAAUUUUCCUUGCAUCUUUUCCUUUUUCAGGUCUUUGAGCAGGCCAUUCGUUCUUUUCCAAGCAUGAAAGAGACAACUGGCUCUUUCGGAAGAAAUACAAUAUUGGUUCAUUUGAGCUGCUCAACAAGACUGGGCCCCUUUGUGGAUUACAACGUCAAUAGAAGAUCCCUGUUAGAGUACAGUUUUUCAACAGGGGCAACUGUAAGUUCUCACUUCUGCCGCUCAACUUUCAGUUAAUGAAACCAUGCUUCCUAUCGUCUGCGUUAGAUUUGUGCAAAAAUUUUCUUUAGAGUAUUUAACGGAUAUGCUUCCUUUAUGAUAUUUCCAAUUUCUCUACUGCAGUGGAUGCCCUGUCAACACCCCACUUAAUAACUUACCAAUUGUAUGUCCCAAUUUAAUUGAUUCUGUCAUAGAACCAUAUUGCAACCCUAACUUUCUCUUAUAUUUUCUUGUAUGUUUUGCCUAAUGUUCUAACGGAGUACUACUUUUUUGUUGCUUACUUUCUAUUACUAGCUAAAUGUACCUGCGUUGCUACGAAUAAAUGAAUUAGAUUUUUUUUGUGGGGUAUAGAUAUAUUAGAUUGCCCUAACAUGUGUGCAUCUUGUUAUUGUGUUUUCUUGGGCUCUGCUCCGGCCCACUGGCUCCUUCACUUCUCCGCUAAGUAAGUUGGUUCAUCUCUCCUCAGAUUUUUUUCUGGUAGCAGGACCAAGACAGCAACCAGGUACCUCCCAGUUUGCAAGAUUUUGAUAGAGCUACUCAAAAUCUAUUGCUGCAAUUAAAAUCCUACCCUUAUUUAUUUUUCUCGAUAGACAUAGAUGUAUUCAUGGAGUUCUAGAUCAUGCCGCCACAUUAAAUUAAUUAUGUAUCAAAUUUUGUAGACAAAGAAGAAUGUUGUGGCCUAGAAUAAAAUGCCUUUGUAAGUUGUUUUCCCGCUAAGUAUUAAGGAAUAGGAACUACUUUGGUCAGAGCGUUGGUCGUCUCCAGCCUGCUGCUUUUUUAUUUACUUCACAAUGGAUACCUGGAUACCUUGGUGCUUCCAUGAAUGAGUAGCAUGUGUUAAAUUUUUGAACUGACGUCUAAGAUUUGGAGCUGGGGAGAAAUCUAACUUGCCUGUGUCAGUUCUGCCUUUGCACUAGGAUCUGCCCUGUCGCAGUAGGUCAGACAAUGUCUGAGCGUUGGAGAAAAACUUUAAUUUUUUGUCUUCAUAGGCAACAUGCAUCACAAAAUCGCAAUGACAUGUUUAUGGCUUUUUUUUAUGGUUCCAACACAACCAGCCAGCCCCAAAGGUCCAACACAGUCAGCAGAGUAGUUUGAAGAUGAUGGCCUUGAAGAUGCAAUUGUAGAGGAACUACCUGCAAAGUCUUCUGUUUGUGAGGAUGCAACUGUCGAGGAAAUCCAUGGGUCAAAGUUUAUUGAACUCGUGCAGUAGUUCAAGUUUCACUUUGUUGUUUCAAUUUUACAUUACAUUCUAAAUUGUCUUGUGCCUUUUCUGUUGGUUUCAUGCCAUGAUCAGGCAUUUUUGUUCCACUUGUACAAUAUGGGUGUUGUGUCCUGAACGAAGCUUUCUUGGUCUUUGGUUCAUCCAUGCCCUGCUUUGGAUAAAUUCUCUUUUGAAAUAGUUAAUCUAAGGUGUCUUUUGGCAGUUC